UACAGAGGGUGCAAGCGUUAAUCGGAAUUACUGGGCGUAAAGCGUGCGCAGGCGGUCUGUUAAGACCGAUGUGAAAUCCCCGGGCUUAACCUGGGAACUGCAUUGGUGACUGGCAGGCUUUGAGUGUGGCAGGAGGGAGGAGUAAUUCCACGUGUAGCAGUGAAAUGCGUAGAGAUGUGGAGGAAUACCGAUGGCGAAGGCAGCCUCCUGGGCCAACACUGACGCUCAUGCACGAAAGCGUGGGGAGCAAACAGG
rnacentral:rRNA from 1 species